rnacentral:lncRNA from 1 species
GUGUCUUUUAUCUGGUCUAAUCACCUGGGUAAAUUCUGAUUUAAUGCAUUCAAGUGAUCCCGUUUCUCUCUCUCUUCCCCAGUGCAAGCGUCUGGAACAAGAGCUGCUUCGUGUGAAAGAGCCGUGCCAUAAUUCUGCAAACAGCACCCGCCACCUGGCCACACAAAACAAUUGGGAAAGAGCGAGCAAGCCUGAGGAGGAGCUUCAGGACGCUCAGAGAGAACGAGAUAAAGCCCUGCUGCACAGUCACACUCUGGAAGAGGAGCUGCAAACCUUACGCAGGUAUCACAGUGUGUUGCAGCAUCAGGCUGGUGAGACCAGUCUGGACGUUCCUGCCACCUCAAACCAGAGCCAGAGCCAGAUUCAGCCCCUGCUGAACCGUCUGCAGCAGCUGACAGCAGAAUUUCAGAGCGCUCAGACCCAACUAUGUCUGACCCAGGAGAGAGAGAGGGAGGCCAAUGAGAAAGUGCAGAGGUGAGUACAGACACGUGCACUGUCUGUUUUUACAUGGGAAAGUUUAAUUAAUAUACCAAAAUC